UCCGGUUUGUCACCGGCAGUCUCACAUGAGUCCCCAACUUAAUGCUGGCAACAUGCGACGGGGGUUGCGCUCGUUGCGGGACUUAACCCAACAUCUCACGACACGAGCUGACGACAGCCAUGCAGCACCUGUGUUGCGGUUCCCUUUCGGGCACCGAGACAUCUCUGUCCCGUUCCGCACAUGUCAAGGGUAGGUAAGGGUUUUCGCGUUGCAUCGAAUUAAUCCACAUAAUCCA
rnacentral:misc_RNA from 1 species